CCGGAGGCAGCAGUGAGGAAUAUUGGUCAAUGGGCGAUGGCCUGAACCAGCCAAGUAGCGUGAAGGAUGACUGCCCUAUGGGUUGUAAACUUCUUUUAUAAAGGAAUAAAGUCGGGUAUGCAUACCCGUUUGCAUGUACUUUAUGAAUAAGGAUCGGCUAACUCCGUGCCAGCAGCCGCGGUAAUACGGAGGAUCCGAGCGUUAUCCGGAUUUAUUGGGUUUAAAGGGAGCGUAGAUGGAUGUUUAAGUCAGUUGUGAAAGUUUGCGGCUCAACCGUAAAAUUGCAGUUGAUACUGGAUGUCUUGAGUGCAGUUGAGGCAGGCGGAAUUCGUGGUGUAGCGGUGAAAUGCUUAGAUAUCACGAAGAACUCCGAUUGCGAAGGCAGCCUGCUAAGCUGCAACUGACAUUGAGGCUCGAAAGUGUGGGUAUCAAACAGGAUUAGAUACCCCGGU
rnacentral:rRNA from 1 species